AUAUUGUCCUCAAACAUUGUCAGAUUGUGCUCACGGAGUCACAGACGGCUAGCCUGCCCCUCGGAGUUUCCACUGUGAUGGACAAACUAGCAAUCCCAGAUGUCCACCAAUAAACCCGUGAAGGCAGCUCAGCUGGAUGCAGGGAGCACAAGUCUGCGGUCAAGGCUACCCCUCACUGCUCCUGAGCCUCAGGCCACCAGUUAUCAGCACCUUGCCCUCCAUGCAGCUGCCCUAGAGCACGUGCAUGGCUGUCAUGGCUAGAUUUGUAAACAUCCGAGCCCUCGGUGGAUGAACUGAGACUGUCUCCUGCAUCCUAGCACAUCUAUCCCCUUCUGCUAGUGCAGUGCCUGGCUCAGGGUGGAGUCAGCGUUUGCUGAAUUCAUUACUGAAUUAUCUGGAGUGCUCCAGAGAAUGUUUUCUCUCUGGUCCUCCACUGCUCCAUCUAUGUGGGAGAUGAGGCUCGGUUAUCUCUAGAUGUCCCUGACCUUGCCACCCUGCAUCCCUAGUGCUCUGUAUUCUUGCAGCGCUUUAUCCCCCCUUCACUUCCUGCAAGUCGACUAGCUGCCAGGACCAGUAACCGAAGCCAGAGGGCUGACCUGAACUGCCAAGGGAGCCGCUGGCCUCCAGCCUAGUCCACCCCUACACUCCCGUGAGAGCUCACCCUGCCAUGGUAAUCUGCCCACGUUCCUCCUCUGGCAAAACCUUCCAAAUACCAGCCUCUGUUGGUCAACUGCCAAACACCUGAAGCUGGCAGAGAAGGCCCCUCCUGCUCUGGUCCCUCCCCACCUGGAGUCUUCUCCCCUGGUGACUCUUCUCAUACGGCAAGCUCACCACCCUGAGGCCAUCCUGAAUCACUCAGUCUCUGGGACGUCCCUGUGGCCCUUCAUCUGACAUCAAAUUGGCAUAUUUACAGAGUCGUCAUAAGACGUCAACAACACAAGAUGUAGGAAUAUAAUCAAUUCUAAAUGAUCUAUCUACAUAUUUAAUUAUCUACUCACAUUACACACGUAAGGUUGGUGGAUUCUGAGCGUAUCGGUCUGCUGGGGCUGCUCUAACGAAAUAUCAUGAAUGGGAGUCUUAAACGAUAGACAUUUAUUUCUCAUGGUUUGGAGGCUAGGAAGUUCAAGUUUAAGGUGCUGCCAAUUAGAUUCCUGUGAGGGCCUUCUUCCUGGCCUGCAGAUGGCUGUGUUUUGUGUGUCCUCACAGGACAGAGACAGAGAUAUCUUUGCUCUCUCCUUGUAAGGACACUAUCGCAGAGUUCCCUGGUGGUUCUGUGGGUUAAGGGUCUGGUGUUGUCACUGCUGUGGCUCAGGUUCACUCCCUGGCCUGGGAACCUCCUUCUGCCAAAAUAAAUAAAUGAAUUUAAUUGAAUUAAAAACAAAACAAAUAAUUUUUAAAAAGAGACGCUAUCCGAUCCUGAGGACUCCAUCCUCAUGACUUCAUCUAAAAGUAGUCACCUCCCACAGGCCCUAUCUUCAAAUGCCAUCCUGCUGGGGGGCGGUGUGGGAUGGUGACAGUUUCAGUCCAUGAGUUUGGGGAGCCAUAGUUCAGCCCACAGCUCUGAGCAGAGAAGGUAAUGGUUUAUAAUGACCGUCUGGCUAUUUGUCCAGCAUUCUGCUCCAGUACAAGCACCUAGGGUCGCAGGACUGUAACAGCAGAAGGUGUCCUGCACAUACAGAUCUGUUUCUUGUCUGGGUGGACGUGAGGGAAAUGGAAAGGUGAAGAGAGUUGAGAAAUGAGGGGGAGAGACAGGCAGAAGCCAGUUCAUGAAGGGGUCCUGCCUUCACAAAAAUAGUAUGGAUUUUAUCUCCUGAAUGAAAAGAUAGAUUCAAUGAUACAGUCACAUGGUUGGCUGUGAGCUUUAAGAAUUAUAAAAAUGUUCACCCUUCCGAUCCCACACUGAGGAAUUUUCCUGAGAAAAUAAUCUGGAAGAUUAAGAGAGGUAUGUACACAAAGAUAUUUACUACAUUAUUUACAAUAAUAAAAUUGGGAGAAACCCACAAAGGACUACUUAGGGAGUUACUCAGUGAACCAACAAAUACUUCCUGAAUAUAAAGUGACAAUUAAAACAGGGAAGUCCAGAUUAAGAGAAUGGAAAAAUCUGUGAAGUAGGUCAAAUAAACAAAAUGUAAAAUUAUAACUGCAUAAUGGUACAACUCCAUAAAAUAGGGACAAAAGGUGGACAAAACUAGCAGUAAAUCCAGAUAAAGAUGACAACAGACUACCUGUUAGGUUUGGUGCCAUUAUGUGCCACCGACGAAUCAUGUCUACAGAAGCUGCUGCCAUUUUUGCAAAAAAUAACAAAAACCCCCCACGACCCGUCUUGUAGAAGGGAAUCUGCUCCGCUUGUCUGCAGUCUCAGCCUCACAGAGCAGCCUUUGUUUGUGGCCAGCCUGAACAGACACUUGGCUUUCAGUGACACAAGUGAAUUGAUGAAAUAUUUGGGGUCAAUACAGUGGAAAGAAGGAUGCGUUUUAUAAUGAAGCACAGAACAAUGCGGUAGCCGGGGGAAGCAGGGUGAAGGAGGAAGAGGAUCUGACCUGCUAAAUGAACUACACGCUUCAGGCCAAAGCAUCCAUUAGGUGCCAUGUUGAGGAUGAGAAAUAGGGCUCUUGUGUAUAAAUAAGCCAAGGGGACCCUGAACAGCAUGACGACGGCGGAGCAGAACGUGGGCUCACCCUCCCUGCGAACAAGUCCCGGAAAGAAAGAGCUGGAUACGGCCACAGUGAAGACAUUACUGGGUUUUGCCGUGAUAGAUGAUGGGUAAGAUGCUUCCCCAAACUGGAGUUGUAGAAUUUCAGAGCAAGAAGAGGGGUUGGGUGAUUCAGCCAAGGUCACACAGCUGAUACAUAUAGCACUGAAGUAGAAACACUUAUAGGGACCGAGUUUUAACUCCAGAACAAUCACUUUCUUGCUAUGUCUCAAUCUUAUGCUCCCUUGAAACCCCCACUCCACCACAGCGUGCCAAGGGCUGUCAAUCCUCCCCCUACUACCAGGGAAGGGUCUUCGUUGCCAGCUGGCCAGCAAGUGGUCCAUCCCUAAAAUCCCAUUUGAUUAUUUAAUUUAAUUGAUUAAUUUAUUGGCCAUGCCCAUGGCAUGUGGAAGUUGCCAGGCCAGGGAUGGAACCCACACCACAGCAGUGACCCAAGCUGCUGCAGAGACAAUGCUGAUGCUGUAUCUUUUUUUUCUUUUUUUUUUUUUUGCGUUUUAGCACCUCCCUGGCAGCAUAUGGAGGUUCUCAGGCUAGGGGUCGAAUCAGAGCUACAGCUGCCAGCCCAUAUCACAGCCACAGCAAUGCCAGAUCCAAGCCACGUCUGCGACCUACACCACAGCUUACGGCAAUGCCAGAUCGCCAACCCAAUGAGCGAGGCCAUGGAUCGAACCCGCAACCUCACAGUUCCUAGUCAGAUUCUUGACUGACAAUGUCG
rnacentral:lncRNA from 1 species